rnacentral:lncRNA from 1 species
CAUUUCUGAAAUAUCUGAUUGGUUAGAAAGAUCAGCUUUAUUUAGUUUGUGAGAAGCUUGUAGGGUUUAGUGAAUUGCAGGAGUUAAGAAUUAUUUUUGAGGCUGGCUAGCAUACCUCCUACAGAGACUACAGGGACUUAAAAAUUUUAAGGAUGCUCAUGAUCACUAGCCAACAUUUUUAAUCAAUGCAUUGAUGAAUUAAUUAUCUUCUGUUCUUGCUCAAGAGACAUACCCUUUUGUGGAGUCUCAUGACCACCAGUGAUGAUUCAAUAGCUGCAUUAAUAGAGUUAUCAAUAUCUGCAAAAAAG